GUUGGCGAUGUCACUGACGGUUUAAGACAAGCUGUACUUGUCUGGGAAUCCGGUUAAAUUCCGGAGCUGCCCCCGCAACUGUAAUGGUCAGGACGAUGUCUGUUUGCCACUGAAAAUUAUUUUCGGGAAGGCGACAUCGAGCCGUAGCCAGAGCCAGGAGACCGGCCGUCGUGCAUCUCGCAUCA
rnacentral:ncRNA from 17 species